rnacentral:lncRNA from 1 species
GUAGUAGUGCAGGCAAGUCCUGUGUGCAAGACCUGCUGCUCCCAGUUAGUACGGACCCCUGUGACAUUCACAGAAGUUCAGAAUGUCUGAGAUGCUCUGCAGGCUACCUUAUCUCCGUCUGCAGCUACACCUCCAGUGAUCACAAUCAGUGCUACGCUGGCACAGCCAGCCUGGCCCUGCUCUGGAUUGGAGGCAUCCUCAAGGGCUGCUUGCUGUGGAAGCAGUUUCGCUGGACCGAGAGGAGCCACUGGAAUUUUGGGUACUGGGCCUUAGGGUCACCCGGGAAUGGGAAUGGCUGCUGUGUGGCCCUGUUUGCCAGAGGGGGCCAUUGGUGAUGAGCCCCAUGCAAGUGGCAUCUGCCCUUCACCUGCUCCUUCUAA